ACACAUGCAAGUCGAGGGGCAGCAUGGUCUUAGCUUGCUAAGGCUGAUGGCGACCGGCGCACGGGUGAGUAACACGUAUCCAACCUGCCGUCUACUCUUGGCCAGCCUUCUGAAAGGAAGAUUAAUCCAGGAUGGGAUCAUGAGUUCACAUGUCCGCAUGAUUAAAGGUAUUUUCCGGUAGACGAUGGGGAUGCGUUCCAUUAGAUAGUAGGCGGGGUAACGGCCCACCUAGUCAACGAUGGAUAGGGGUUCUGAGAGGAAGGUCCCCCACAUUGGAACUGAGACACGGUCCAAACUCCUACGGGAGGCAGCAGUGAGGAAUAUUGGUCAAUGGGCGAUGGCCUGAACCAGCCAAGUAGCGUGAAGGAUGGCUGCCCUAUGGGUUGUAAACUUCUUUUAUAAAGGAAUAAAGUCGGGUAUGCAUACCCGUUUGCAUGUACUUUAUGAAUAAGGAUCGGCUAACUCCGUGCCAGCAGCCGCGGUAAUACGGAGGAUCCGAGCGUUAUCCGGAUUUAUUGGGUUUAAAGGGAGCGUAGAUGGAUGUUUAAGUCAGUUGUGAAAGUUUGCGGCUCAACCGUAAAAUUGCAGUUGAUACUGGAUGUCUUGAGUGCAGUUGAGGCAGGCGGAAUUCGUGGUGUAGCGGUGAAAUGCUUAGAUAUCACGAAGAACUCCGAUUGCGAAGGCAGCCUGCUAAGCUGCAACUGACAUUGAGGCUCGAAAGUGUGGGUAUCAAACAGGAUUAGAUACCCUGGUAGUCCACACGGUAAACGAUGAAUACUCGCUGUUUGCGAUAUACGGCAAGCGGCCAAGCGAAAGCGUUAAGUAUUCCACCUGGGGAGUACGCCGG
rnacentral:rRNA from 1 species